ncrna:unclassified sequences S15-Flavobacteria ribosomal protein leader
UAUCUUUGCGGCCUGAUUGAAAAUCAAUCAUAAUACAUAAAAAUCAUUUAAAAUAAUAUUGGAAUG